ACCUGGGUGGCUCAGUCGGUUGAGCAACUGAUUUCUGCUCAGGUUAUGACCUCACAGUUCGUGGGUUCGAGCCCCGCGUCAGGCU
rnacentral:tRNA from 1 species